rnacentral:misc_RNA from 1 species
UACGAAGGCCCCAAGCGUUAUCCGGAAUCACUGGGCGUAAAGCGUACGCAGCCGGUCCGGCUAGUCUGAUGUUAAAUCUCUCCGCCCAACGGGGAGGCCGCAUCGGAAACGGUUGGACUCGAGCCGGUAAGGGGGAGACGGAACGUGCGGUGUAGGGGUGAAAUCCGUUGAUAUCGCACGGAACACCAAAAGCGAAAGCAGUCUCCUGGUGCUGUGCUGACGGUCAUGUACGAAAGCGUGGGUAGCAAACAGG